UGUGCUAAUUUCAUGAACAUUUUUUUUUUUUUUUUUUUCUUUU
rnacentral:ribozyme from 14 species